GGCCGUGUGGUUCAGUGGUUGGAGCAUUGGCCUGCGCACCAAAGUGUCAUGGGUUCGAUUCCCGAUCAAGGGCA
rfam:Myotis brandtii contig204124, whole genome shotgun sequence.